ACCAAACUACAGGGUUGAUAAGCGGCAAAUAUGGAGAAUUUUCGAUGGUAUCAGUUUGUAAAAAAUAGAUGAUGAGUCAACGGGCAAGAGGAUUACUCGAAAGGGUUAUCAUAAUCUACGAUCGAUUAUAAUUGUACUGAUACUGAGAGGAGAAAUCAAUUCAACUUUUACAAGAUAUUACCUAUGUGCGUGACGUGUUUCUCGCGUCAGUAAAAUCAAUGUUCCCAAUCAUCAUAAGUUCUGGUGUGGAAGUAUUCCAAUCACGAUCGCUUUCUGAAGUAGUUACAAAUGUUAAGUGAUCUGUAAGCCAGGAAGGAACUGAUUGAGCUGCCUAGCACUUGCUAUUCACUUCCACAUUAACCAAUCAGCACACACUAGAAGCACUAUUUUCACUUGUGGUAUGUAGUAAUAUAAAUUGUAGUAUUCUUAAAUGGUAAAAACUUGCCAAAGAGUUGAUUGAUUUUUCAGCUUUUUUGUCUCCUUUUUUUUUUAACAUUUAUUUUUUUUCCACCACUGGCUUCCACAGAUUUUGGAUCUGCUUUUUACAAGACUAAUGCAGGUUGCUCUCUCCUGGCACUAGAAUCCAAACUCCUUGAACUUUUGUAAUUGAUAUAUGGUCAUAACGUACUGGAAAAAAUAGAAAUUCCUAUUUUUGUUAGUUCCUAACAAAUGU